AGCCAAUGUGGUGUAGUGGUUUGAAUGCUGGACUACAACUCUGGAGACCAGGGUUUGAAUCCCCGCUGGGCUA